UACGGAGGGUGCAAGCGUUAUCCGGAUUCACUGGGUUUAAAGGGUGCGUAGGUGGGUUGGUAAGUCAGUGGUGAAAUCCCCGAGCUUAACUUGGGAACUGCCAUUGAUACUAUCAGUCUUGAAUACCGUGGAGGUCAGCGGAAUAUGUCAUGUAGCGGUGAAAUGCUUAGAUAUGACAUAGAACACCAAUUGCGAAGGCAGCUGGCUACACGAAUAUUGACACUGAGGCACGAAAGCGUGGGGAGCAAACAGG
rnacentral:rRNA from 1 species